GUACAAUCUUGUUGAUGAUGGCCAUGAUUUGAGAAUUCCAAUGCAUAACGAGGAAGCAUUCCAACAUGGGAUCAACUUCGAAGCAAAAACCCCCAUGAAGUGCUCAUUUUGGGCAGAAGUCUCUGGGAACGAGUUUAACUGGCUUGCUACUUUACCUUCACAACCAAGAGGACAGUCAUCGAGGAACAUUUUAGGUAACCCAGCUAGCACAGAACGUUCCCCAAAGGGUUUCAUUUGUAAAAAAUAACUUUCACAGAACGUUCUGGGAACAUUGUGGGAAAGUAAUUUUUCUAAGAACCAAAGGAUACCCUUUAGGGAGCGUUAGAAACACAUUGUUCUGAAAACAUUCAAAUAACCUCAUAAAAUAAUGUAAUUUUUUGGUGAAUUACAACUUUUACAUAACAUUCCCCUGUGGUUCCCGUUUGGUUGUUGGGAGAAAAAUAGUUCUGGGAACGUUCUGGAAACAUUGCAUAUCAAAGGCCGUAUUGGAUCAAACUGCUGAAAGAGAAGAUAAAGUGUGUGUGGAGCUUGCUUGGACAGUUUCCCCACCUGCACCAUCUCCAUUUUGUCCAGAAGUCUACUCGUAAAAGGUGACUUUAGGUUACUUUAUUACUACAAUGAACACUCACCGGACGGUUUAUUAGAUGGAGCAAUUGUGGGACACCACCACUUGUGAACACCUACUCAACCUCUAAGGUAAAUGGCUUAUAGUAACUUGAUAGCAUUGAAGCAUUCACAUUGAAACAAUGGACCUUAUUUUGUUGCUAAUCCCAAAUGGAGCCUUAUACUCUAUGCACAUGUGUUGAUCUGAGAUGAUUUGAUGGUUUUAAACAAUAUGAUUAAACUUCCACCUAGCCUAUCAGAGGACUAAUUGGAAUAAUGACAAAUUUGCUCACAUAAGUCAAAUCCUCUCAGAUCUCCUCAAGUGCAUAAGGAGUAGGGUCUAAGGCAGGGUUAUUCAACUCUUACCCUACGAGGGUUGGAGCCUGCUGGUUUUCUGCUCUACCUGAUAAUUAAUUGUACACACCUUAUUUCCCAGGUCUAAAUCAGUCAGUCCCUGAUUAGAGGAAAACAUUUUUUUAUUUUUAUUUAGUGGAACUUCCUUCAAGGUUCAGAGUUGAGUUUGAGGGGUCUAGGGGUUGAUUUAGGAUUGGGCCAUACUUUUGUAAUCAGAACUUUCAAUUGAAGUGUGACAUACAUUAGAUGUCUGUUAUGGUUAACAUGUGAUUCAGUUUGUCUCACAGAAGUUUCUCUAAGCUCAACUGGAAGUGUCACAGAGUAGAGGUACAGUAAUUGGCUUGAUACUAUUUAAAAACAUUGAAGCAUUCACAUUGAAACAGUGGACCUUAUUUUGUAUUGUCACAUUUUAGAGCCUGAACUUUCAAAUGAACUCAGAUGUCUGUUAAUGUUAACAUGUGAUUAAUUUAGUCUCAGACAUCACUCUACCCAACCGUAAACAAUGGACCUCACAAGACAGCAGAUGUAUGGCUUACAGUAACUUAAUAUAUUUAAAAACAUUGAAUCAUUCACAUCAACACAAUAGACCUUAUUUUGUGGCGUCAACAAUGAAGUGUGACAUACAGUACAUUAGGCUUCCGUUAACAGACAUCUCUCCACCCAACCGUACUGCAACAGUCCCAGUCUCUCCACUCGUCCCGCAGUCUCCCCAACCAGAAGAGGGGGACCUGCCCUCUGUGAGAAAUGAAGCAUCUAUAAUGAAGCAUUUGAAGGAGUGAAAUAUGUGGGGGUUGUUACAACCACCUGGAUUGUUACAGAUUCAGGUGUGUAUUGCUAAUGAACCAAAAAAGGUAACCCCAAAAACGUUAAACUGUGAACGACCCGAUAAGACAUGGAAAAUGCAACGGCCAGAUUUCUGGAGACCACAGCUGUCUCUCCACUGUCCAAUGAUGGUAAAAAGCUCAACUUACAACUAUUUCAAAACACAUAUUUGAUUUUCACUUUUGUUUAGAUAUAUGUUGUACCCAGGGCCUAAAAUGAACACCCACCAAAUACGGGUAGAUUUUGGCAUUGGCGGGUAAUGAUUUCUAUUUCAUCAGUCACGUUGCCGGGUGGUCAGGGCUCCACAUUGCAAACAUUUCACUCUCAUUUGUGAAUAAAAAGUCAAGUAUGAUCACAUUAAUAGCAAAAUAAAUACUGCAGUAGCUGUUUUCAAUGUAUUUCUGCCUUGAGCUGCAACACUGCAUGGCUGGGGGCUGUGUGCACUUGAAGAGCUGAGUGACAGGUACAUUUCUAGAAGCGCUGCACACAGGCAUAAAAAUGGGUCUAAUUUACUUGAAAUGAAGUGAGACUUUGUCCUUGUGUUUCUUGGCUAUUGACAUACUUUUGUUCACAAGCUAGGAUGUUUUUCAAUGUUUGAGUUUAAGCUGCUAGGGUAGAGAAGCAACGGGAUACUAGUCAGACUCAAUCUCACAAGCACAAACAUGACUCCAGUCGUGUUACCAGGGUAACCUCCCGACCUUAAAAGGCCAGAUGAACAUUUGUGUCUCAUCUGUGAUAUUUUGGUUAACAUGAAAUCAAAUAAUAUUCCACAUCACUUCUUACUAGUAAUAUAUUUGUUUUUUAGAAACAUUACAAAGCAUGCUCAUCUGUUUUUUUGUGUUUUGUUGGUGUAAUUUUAGUGGGGAAAAAAUAUUUUGGCUGCUAGAAUUUUAAAUAUACCUGCCACAGUGGCUGGUAGACCAAAAAGUACAUUUUAGGCCCUGGUUGUACCCAUCUUUUUGUGGUGCUAAUUUAGGAACUUUCAAAUUAAAUUUAGCAUACAUUAGACGUCUGUUAUUGUUAACAUGUGAUAAAUUUUGUCUCAGAAGUUUCUCCACCAAGCUCACCUGGAAGACUGUCCCCCAACAGAUGAUGUUAUGGUGAUAUUAUUGUUCUCUAAGCACAGAAAAAUAUUUUAAUUAAUUUAAAUAUUAAUUGUACCCUUGUACUUGACUUAACUAUUGCAGGAUUCCAAAUAAUCGUGCUGAUGAAGCUGGAAACAAGUUUCGAAAACCAGUUGGAACUCCUAACAAUUCAGCGACAGCUGCUAGCCGCUGGAGCACAAGAUCUGCCAGACGAAGUCCUGCCUAGACCUUGUACAACCAAGGAGGAUUUGGAGGACCUUUGCAAGAGUCUGGAGGAGGCCACCACAUAACGGAAAGAGAUGGUUGCAGGGAGGGUUGAAGAGGAGGUUGUGGAGGAGUGAGCCCUUGACUCCCCUGUACCAUAGACGGUGGUCAGACAAGACAAUUGUGUAAUCCGUGUGUGUGUGUGUGUGCCAAUCAGAUUGCAGAUGUCUGAAUUGUUAGCAAAAAUAUAUUUUAUUUUGUAAGAUUUUAUUACUUUUUUUCAAACAAUACAAAACAUGCACAUACCAACAACAGCAUACAGACGCACACAAACAUCAAUGACAUAACACCUAGCCAGACCCACCUGCUCACACCCCAUCCAUCUCCAGCGCCCGCAUCACUCUCCGCAACAUGGCCUCAAACUGUACCAUUUUGUUUUACUCUGUCACCAACGCAUUUUCAACAUUUGAGAUAAUAUAGUAUUGGACUUUUCCAUUGUGUUAGUGAUGGAGGAUUGGUUGAUUUCCAGUUAAGUGUGCAUUUCUUUUCAAGAUGAUUGAUAAAAUGUAUCAUUCAACCCAUCGGGUAUCUCACUGCUCACUCAUAUGCCAUGUCUUGAAAUAUGCAGACAGAUGGAUUAAAAUUAAUUUACAUUGUGAUACUUCUGACAGACAACUUUCUAUCUCUGCCCAUAACAUUUGGACUUCAUAGCAUCCGCAGAAGGCAUGGAUUAUUGUUAGUUUUAUGCUUAAGACAUGACUCUGCCAUUGUGCUGACAUGUGAUUUUUCUCUUUUGUAUAAUACAUUCUAUACAUUAGUUUAUACUGGAUUAAGUGUACAUUUUUGUUAUUGGUGUCCCUAUACUGGGAGGUUGAGAUAAUGUAUGAUAAUGUAGUUAGCAUGACAUUGUAAGAAAACAGCAAACUUUCCAGGACAUAGACAUGUCUUAUAUGGGCAGAAAGCGUAAAUUAUUUUCAUCAAACUGCGCUGUCCAAUUUACAGUAGCUAUUACAGUGAUAAAAUAGCAUGCUAUUGUUUGAGGAGAGUGCAACAACAACAAAACUUUUAUCACGGAACUGGUUUGAUGCAUUCCCCUCUGAAGGUAAAUAAUGUACUUAUAUUCAGUAGUCUUGCUCUGAUUUGUCAUCCUGAGGGUCACAGAGAUAAAAAUGUAGCAUAGUUUUGUUUGAUAAAAUCCAUUUUUAUAUUCAAAUGUAGGAACUGGGUUCUACAGUUUGAACCCCUGCUGUCUCUGGCUGCACACCCACCCCACCUGGCCAACUAGAUGUGUGAAAGUUAGUGUAUAGGCUAAUGGGAGUGAAUAAACUUUAGAUUUUGCAUUAUCAUAUCAUUUUUGUAUGUUCUCUAUAGUUAUGUAUUUGGAAAUGUAUCAAUUUACCAAUACGGCACAUUUGGGCAUACUUGCAAUGCUUCACUGGAUCAAUCUGAAACUUUGCAAACACACUACUGUGUGUAUAGAAAAUGCAUGUUUUUUUGUUUGUAUUAUCUUACCAGAUCUAAUGUGUUGUUCUCCUACAUUUAAUUUAACAUUUCCACAAACUUCAAAGUGUUUCCUUUCAAAUGGUAUUAAGAAUAUGCACAGUCCCCAAGAACAAAUUCAAGAAAGCCUACAGUAUUAUAUAGAGCCCUUAUUGCAUCUCAUAUUGCUCAAAUAAAGAGCAAACCUGGAUUCAAAAAGCAGAGAAAGCAACACCUCAUGGCACAACGCCUCUCCUCUAUUUGACCUAAAUAGUUUGUGUCUAUGCAUUGAUAUGUAGGCUACGUGUGCCUUUAACAUUUCUUUAUGUAGUUCAGUCCUUGUGCUGUUCUUGUCUAUUGAUGUUCUGUAUUAUGCCAUUCUGUAUUAUGUUUCAUGUUUUGUGUGGACCCCGGGAAGAGUAGCUGCUGCAUUUGCAACAGCAAAUGGGGAUCUUAAUAAAAUGCCAAAUAUCCUUGCUUCAGGUCCUGAGCUACAGGCAGUUAGAUUUGGGUAUGUCAUUUUAGGCGAAAAUUUAAAAAAUGUCCGAUCCUUCGUUAUUAAUGUUCCAACAUUCCCUCCAUCAUGUGCCAAUAUCACUUACUUUUAAGUCUUGGAGAGCUUAAAACGUUCCAUUUGAUUCUGAGUUGUAUUUGCCCAUAUGAAGUCAGUUUGUUAUGACUGAGUAUACUGUACUUUAAAGAUAAAUGUCUUCAGUGUGGUAAUUGGUUUUACUGAGAAUAAAUAUAAGAACUAAUUGUUCAUAUUUAA